rnacentral:sRNA from 1 species
CCUUUCCUGCCGCCCAGGCCUUGGAGAGACCCAAGGCCUGUGGGCCACGGCUGGGCCUCUCCUGACUCCAGCUUGCCCUUCUGUCCUUGGGGGCAGCGUCCUUCCUUCUCUCGGCCCCUUGGAGCUGCUCUGCGGGAGCCCCACAGCAGCCCAGCAGAUUGAACGCAAAAGACUGCCACCCUCCUGCUCCGGAUCCUGGGAGGAGGCUACAGGCUGGCGCUGCGACAGCAACCUGCCUGGCCUGGGAAGCCCCUGCAGCCCCUACAUCAGAAGCUUGCUCUUGGCGCAGUGGCUCAUGCCUGUAAUCCCAGCA